CAGUAGCCAGGGAAUACGAAGGGUGCGAGCGUUAAUCGGAAUUACUGGGCGUAAAGCGUGCGCAGGCGGUUAUGUAAGACAGUUGUGAAAUCCCCGGGCUCAACCUAGGAACUGCAUCUGUGACUGCAUAGCUAGAGUACGGUAGAGGGGGAUGGAAUUCCGCGUGUAGCAGUGAAAUGCGUAGAUAUGCGGAGGAACACCGAUGGCGAAGGCAAUCCCCUGGACCUGUACUGACGCUCAUGCACGAAAGCGUGGGGAGCAAACAGGAUUAGAUACCCCGUAGUCCCUGUCUCUUAUACAC
rnacentral:rRNA from 1 species